GACGAACGCUGGCGGCGUGCUUAACACAUGCAAGUCGAACGGAAAGGCCCUGCUUUUGUGGGGUGCUCGAGUGGCGAACGGGUGAGUAACACGUGAGUAACCUGCCCUUGACUUUGGGAUAACUUCAGGAAACUGGGGCUAAUACCGGAUAGGAGCUCCUGCUGCAUGGUGGGGGUUGGAAAGUUUCGGCGGUUGGGGAUGGAUUCGCGGCUUAUCAGCUUGUUGGUGGGGUAGUGGCUUACCAAGGCUUUGACGGGUAGCCGGCCUGGGAGGGUGACCGGCCACAUUGGGACUGAGAUACGGCCCAGACUCCUACGGGAGGCAGAAGUGGGGAAUAUUGCACAAUGGGCGGAAGCCUGAUGCAGCAACGCCGCGUGCGGGAUGACGGCCUUCGGGUUGUAAACCGCUUUCGCCUGUGACGAAGCGUGAGUGACGGUAAUGGGUAAAGAAGCACCGGCUAACUACGUG
rnacentral:rRNA from 1 species